UAUAGGCUAUAUAUUUCCUUUAGCUAAAUGAAAGUCAGCUAUAUAACUAUAUCGACCUCAUGGAUAGAGGGUCCCAACGAAUAAAAUAUUUAUUUGACUUAGUGAAAACGACUGAACUAUUCACCAAAUUCCCAAAUGACAUAGAAAAUAAAAAAAUAAAUAAAUAAAAAAAAAAAAAAAGGUCUAGGAGGCUGGUUAGGCUUUGGCUUUGGUUGUAGCGUGCAGUGCGCCCUGUCUAACAGGGGUUUCUCAUCUAAGCCAAGCAGCUCCUGCAAUAAACUGGAGAUGAACUCGGUCGGCGCUGUGCCUUCAAGUCCUUCCGUGAUCCCAAUCAGUCUUAAAUUAUUUCUCCUUGAUCUGCUUUCAAGGUGCUCAUAUUUUACAUGGAGGUCUUUGACUUCCGACUGAAGUCUAUAGACUGUUGCUUCCAGGUCUGUAACGGCAUCACUUGUUGCAGUCGCAGAUUUUUCCACAUCUUUCAGGUGGCUUUCAUGAUUGUUUAAAGCUGUAUCUAGUGCCGCAACAGAGGUAGAUAGAUCUUCCCUGAUAGCGGAAAUGUCUGACUGAAGUUCACUGACCGCUAAUUCUAUUUUUGAACAAAUGCCAGUUUUUAGGGAAUCCAAAGCUUUGGUGAGCAGAUCAGGUGUUAAUUUGUCACCUCCUUGUGAACUCCCGGUUUUGGCCUCGUUAGACAAAGGAGUAAGGCCACCGCCUUUGGCUCUGGUAGUAAAAGGCACGUUUCAAAUCUGCUCCACUUAGGCUUUAACUUGAUUAUAUGAAUUUUGAUUCUGUUGAAAUGUGAGAUGGAUCACAUAGAUUUGUCUACUUUUUAAAGGUCCAGUGUGUAGUAUUUAGUAACAUCUAAAAGAACAGACUUGGUAAAAAAUUGAAGAGAUAAUUUAUAAGUAUAUCUUAAUUAAUGUCUAAUCAGCUGAAAAUAAUAAUUGUUGUGUUUUUGUUACCUUAGAAAUAACCCCUUUAUAUCUACAUGGGAGCGGGUUCCCCUCCACGGUGGCCGCCAUGUUGCAUUGCCAUGUUUCUACAGUAGCGCACAACGGACAAACCUAACACUGGCUCCAGUGAGGGCCUUACACGUUUUAGAUUCAGUGGGCGACUACCGGAAAUGCACCAGUUUUAAAACGAAGAGGAAGAGCGGACCAAACAUCUUUUAUUGUGAGACGUUUUUGAAACCAAAAUCUGAUAAAUGGAGGAUUAUACUUCUUUAGAAAAUCACAGGAGCGUGAAUUGUCGUCGUCAAAGAAAAGAAAACAUGAAGAAGCUAAACAAAAUCAGGACAAGCAACAGCAUAAAACGAGGAUAAACCCAGAUGGAAAACCCUGAUGAGAGAAAUGUUUGCAGACUGAGGCUGAAGUUUCCUGUUUACUGCUGGACAGGUAAGAGUGUAAUGUAUAUUUAUUUUGCCCUGCUGGUAAUGGUUCAAAACCUAGAUGAUGUACAAUGUUUAUUAGCAGUACAUUAGUUUCCCUGAAAAGAAACGCCGCCACGUAACGUUAAAUAUUAGCACACUUUACCUUCAGUUUGUGCCUCUCACGGAGCUGGUGGUCUGAUAAGAGACAAAAGGGAGGCAACGUCGUGCUAAUAACCCAACGAUUUAUUCAUUUUCUGUGGCAGUAAGACAACACAUUGACUAAUAACUAAGAUAUUUAGCGCUGGUAAUGUGCUUAAGACAGUAAGUCAGAGUAAUGAGUUACUGUGAAAGAUAAACUGAGGAGAAAUCUGCUCAUCACUGAGUUAAUACAUCCUGUGAAUAUAUAUUUAUAUUUUUCACAGUGCUCCAUGAUUUCAUUGUUUGCUCCUAAUUUGUCAUUUAGGAGCACAUGUACACAUUGGGGGGCAAAGUUAGUUUAUAGUCCAACACAAGUAACGUUUUCCCCGUUUCAAUGUUGAAAAACAUGUAAUUGCGACCAGAAUUUUAAUUUUACAUUCAUCAGUCAGAAGUAGAAUUUUUCUGUUAUUUAUUUUGGUGCGUUUAUCCAGGCCAGCCAAGGCUCCCAGCAUCUUAGGAUGUAACAUAAUGUAUUACAAGGGUUUGUGACUGUGUCAUAAAGCACUUAUUUUCUUGAUGUUGCUGUUGUUUCUCCAGCUAUGAGAGAGGUCCUGUAGCAUCUAUGCAUGGUAUUGCCUUUAUCUUCAUCCUAAAGUGACUGUGUAAUAGGUCAGGGGUAUUUCACCAUGUGCCAUUGAUGGCUGGGGGUACGUUGGUUUUCAUUACAACCAAAGACAACAAAAGUUGAUUUCACUGAAUAGCUACUUGUCUCAGGCUGAAAGUGUGUUAAUCAAUUAAAUAAUCUGAUCUAGUCUGUUGUUGGAAUGAAAAUGUGCAUGGAAUAAGGUUGAACAGUUUCUGGUGAGCACAUUAGAUAAAUAGAUAGAUAGAUAGAUGUUUUAUAAUAGUAAGUUCAUUCAUUUGUGCUGUUUUAUUUUUCUCAGGCACUAUAAGUUGGCAUUAUUCACCAUGUCUGUGACAUUCGCACCCACCAUAUCAGAAGUAUUGCAGACCAAGUCAGGAGAGGUCUGGAAGCAGUUUUCCAUGCAGCUGCUGUUCUACACACAGCUCCUGGAGCAGAUGAGGAACAGCAGUGCCAGUGAAUCAUGGGUGUUGUUCCUGCCAUGAGAGCAUCUUCAUCCAGAGCAGUAAAUUGAAUACCUUUGGUGUGGUUUUGGUCUGACCCUUGUCAGCUAUUAUAUGUGCAGCAAUUUGACUGCUGGAAGGGGAUCAGAUAAGUUUAAUCACACUGCUUUUAGUGUUCAAACAUUCUAAUGAUUUGAUAGAUUAUUCUGUCUUUAUCAGUCAGCUCUGAAGAACACAGAAUAAGCUGUCAAAAUGUUCGUGUUUGAACAGUAAAAGCUGCAUGUUUAUGUUAUACUUUUAUUGUCCAGAUUGAAAAGGAUGUCCAAAAAUGUUUCUGUUAAAUAAAAUAUAUUUUUA